rnacentral:rRNA from 1 species
AGCAGUCGCCACGGUAAUACGAAGGGUGCAAGCGUUGCUCGGAAUUAUUGGGCGCAAAGGGUAGGUAGGUUGUCUUGUUUGUCUAAGGUGAAAUCCCAUGGCUUAACCGUGGAAGUGCCUUAGAAACGGCAAGACUAGAGUCCUAGAGGGGUUUGUGGAAUUCCCGGUGUAGCGGUGAAAUGCGUAGAGAUCGGGAGGAACACCAGCGGCGAAGGCGGCAAACUGGAUAGGAACUGACACUCAACUACGAAAGCGUGGGGAUCAAACAGGAUUAGAUACCCCUGUAGUCCCUGUCUCUUAUAC